UAGAGACAAGUUCUUGUUGUGCGCGCGAAUAAAAUACAAACGUCGCGACAGGGUCUUUUGCUUGGCGACAACUUUGCGCCAUUCUUUGAUCGCCAAACAUGCUAUAUAUCGUCUCUAUUUUCUGCACAUAAUGUUAGUUGAUUUCAGUAUAGCACGGUGUAUGGCACAAAAAUAAUGACGGUGAUUUUCGUAUAGGCAAUUGUCGCGAAAGAGAGAGCAGAUGAAGUGCAAAAUUUCACGGAUUUUAACCCAUUAGCAUCAUGUCAUCUUCGUGAGAUUCUGACGUAUCUAGUGAGAUAUAACAGAUGUUAUCCGGGGUAUAUAUUAAUCCUGCGAGGACGACAACACUGAUGUGAGAGAAAUCCGAAAAUGUUAAAAUAACAUUCCGGAAAUGUUAAUUUUACCUUGCAGUAUUGAUCCGAAAUCGGUGUAAAUAUUAUGCUUUUUAGGUGUAUUAGGGGUUAAAGUUACCCUUUUCAAUGUUAAUUUUACCCUAAAAAAGGUGUAAAAUUAACAUUAAAAAAUGUUGAUAUAGUUUUACACAUAAAAAUGUUAAGGUAAUGAGGAAAAAAAGUUAAUCGCACCCCCGUUUUUUUCUCAGUGAAGGAGUCUGGAUGAGACCCUAUUUCUGAAAAGUAUUUGUAAGGUUCCACUCUUGUAAAAAAUUACAAGUGUUUCAGGAAAUUAUUUUCUAAAGUGUACUUGAACUUUUAACUAGUGGUAUACACCUUCGAUCGUAAUGUAAUGUAACUCAGUUGUCUCAAAGGGUAAAAGACCAAAUUGGUAAUGUUAAUAGUCGAUGUUUUGCGUUUUUAUUGUCACAUUAUAGCUCAGUAUAUAGUUGCUUAUAUCGUUAAGAUUGUCCAUAAUCUUAACUAUUUUUAUUUUUGUUAAAUUUAUUUAAUUAAUUUCAGUAAAAAAAACAACAGUUCACUCAUAAAAUUGUACUCGAACAUGUUCAGAAAUAAAUUUUAAUUAUAAAUGAAGUUUUUGUAAUAUAUCGUUUAAGGUGAAAAUUGUAGAUUUCAUGCUUAAUGUUUAAAAUGUUGAUUUAACUUUACUAAUCAAUUUGAUUUUCACUAGUAAUAUAUUUAGUCUAAUGCCAUAGGGACCUGAUAGGGUUUCUGGUGACCUUAAGGGGAUUCGAAUUCAAAAAAUACAUUGCGUUCCCAUGAAUAAAGGUACACAAUAAAUUACAUAGCCCAAAAAAACAGAGAUACUAACAUUGUUGAUUUAGUAAAAGUUAUUAAAAAGAAAGAUAUUAAAGAAAUAAAAAAAAAUAUUUUCUGAAAGGUCUAGUGUGACAUACAAAAUUCUAUUUACACUCAGCUCUCCGAUAUUCGGCUUUCCGAUAACCAGAUGACAGCUGUCAAAUACUAGAGAAAGUCAAAAAAAAGUUCCCCUUUCCGCGUGUGUUUUUUAAGUCUUUUUCAAUCCCAAUCAUACAAAUAACGGAGAGCAGAAUGUAUAUGACCAUGGUAUCACAUAAAAUUAAUAUUGAUAUUAAGAAGUUAUGGAAAGAUUAGAUGCACUCUAGUAGAGUAACACGAUCAGUAAUAUAUUACUGUAUGUAUUAAUUGCAUUGUUAAUAAUAUUGUACGUAUGAAAAGCAAUUCGAGCAAUUUUCCAUGCGUGCCAACUGUGUUUCGGGCAGUUUUCGAGUAAUUUCCAUGCCUGCCAACUUUGUAAACCAAAUGCUCGCAGUUGGCAUGUGCGAUUAGGAGCCAAAAUCAAAUACUUGCUAUUUUUUGGCAUUCUCGCAAUUAAGAAAAUAAUCAUAAUUAAUCUAAUAUGUGACAAUAAGGUGAAGGUUCGAAUCAAAAAAAAGUUAUAAGAAAAAUAUUGUUCAGGUAUUUAAGAUUAUACAUCAAAGCUAACCUGAAAAAGCAGCCAUGUUUUUUUUUUUAAGUUUAAUGGCAUGACUAUUUCAAAGUUAGGUAGACUUGCAAAUUUUCAUAUUUUUUCAUAAAUUAUUUAGGUUCUAUCGACUUUUCUGAUUGGCUAGAGCUUAAAAGGAUAGGAAGAUUUGACCAAUAAGAGAUCGCAAAUAAGACUAAAAUAUUUUAUGGGAUUAUAUUAUAGAAUAUAUGUUAAAGUCUGUAGUUCACUAAUGACUGUUCUGACUGUUGGAUUUGUUUGACUAUUUGAUUGUUAAAUGACGCAAGUGACCUUUUAAACUUAGACUAGAUUAAUUUUCUACUUUUUUUUAAUAAAAAGAAAACAAACUACAUUUCCCUUAUUGUGGGGUUCCUAGAAUAUUUUUAAAUUUACUUUACUCAAUAAUGAUGAAUGUUUUGUUAAAAAUAGAUUUUACUGCUAUGAGACAAAAAUGCAAACACCACUUGCGAUAAUGUUAAUCGAUUGUGUUGAUUAGUGCAAACUGAUUUAUUUUUAUGCAUAACAUGUUGCUUCUUACGAUAACAGAAAACCAUUCAGCAACUGCAAUAGAUUAAGUAUCUUGGUGACACGAAGGUCCGUAAAGGGGUUAAAAGAUUAUACAGUUGAGUAUUGCGUGUGUCUGUCUCUUGAAAUGUUUAGUAAUAUAUAGAAUUAUCACGAUGUUACAGACGCCACUAAAUAGUUGCCCAGAAAAUCACUGACGAAUUGGGCGGAGAUGCAAUGAGAGGGAGUUUUUACUGAAUCACAUUUCUAUAAAUAUAAAAUUUAUUAGACACAGCACUAAGUUGUUUGAGAUUGGGUCUAAUGCAAAAAUAUAUUAUGAGAUUUUUGAAUUUAUAUAGUAGCAAUAUUUAUUGAUGUUGAUGUGACAGGAAAAAAGCUCACUACCACGUGUUACUAAAAAAUAAAAAUAUCACAUUUUUGCCCAUGAAAUUAUGUCUGAAUUACAUAAAAUACUAUCUUUUGGUUUGUUGAACUUCUCAUGCAAUAUCUCGUGUAUUUCGACCAAAAAAAUCCAAAGCCUAAAGAUUGUAAUUGAGAAAGUUUUAGACAUGGGUUCUCUUAUCGUCUUUGCCUCCCUCCCAAAUGAACUUCUCACUAUCAGGGCAAUAGAAAUUUCUAAGUGUUGUCUAUGGCCUUUUCAUUUCCAUCCAAACUUGUUUGUUUUAGAUAUUGAGUGGUAAGAUUAGGAAAACAUUUCUCUGCAUUUAAGGGCAAGUAUUUUGUCAAAGAAAUCUUUUUAAAUAUGUUUUUGUCUAACUAACAUUCCGUCUUCACUAAAUUGCUAAUAAGUUUUUUUUUGUUGUUGUUGACAAUUUUAACUGCUUUUCCAAUGAAAUCUUAAACUAUUUUUGUGCCUUUGAGAAAUAUUUCUAAGAAAAUUUGUUGAAAUAUAUUCAUGUAAAAAAUUUAUCUACGGGGAUUUUUUAUGAAUGUUGAGAAAUGGCACAAAAUGUUGGGUUUUUUGUUUUGUUGCGUGAUUGGAUGGAGUGCAAGAAUAGAAUUUGAUAAAGAAAAAUCAUGAUGAAUUAAACUUGAGCUCAGUUAAAAUAUAUAUAUAUAAGAAAUUUUAUUUCAACUUUAGCUUAUCACAAUUAAAUUAUUGCGCAAGUUCUUGGCAUAGAGAUAUGAGGAAAUUCAUUGUAAGAUUUCAUUCGUAAAGAUUAGGUACACGGUAAAAAAUAGGCAGAUAAAUUUACUCAAACUACGAUAGAAUGUGCUCAUUGUCACCCUGUAGAGUUUGUUGGAUUUUUAAGUGUCGGUGUCAGUGAUAAACACUGAUAAGAAUUGGUGAGACUGAUGUUGAAGAGAGAGAGUGUGUAAAGUAAAUGGUAUUUCGAAACUUUCCUAAAGUUUUGGGCGCAUGGAAAAAAGGUAGAAAAACGUUUACUAAUGUGCUAUCGUCGCGUCAGUUUGUGUCCGGAAAUCGGUGGCAAUUGAACCCCUAAGUUUUAGAGAGAAACCUUUUAAGCCCAAAAAAUUGUGGAAUUUACUGGGAAAAAAUAAUUUUGUAUACAAAGAAAUUAUUCAAAAAAAAAAUUCAAAGUCAUAAAAGCAUCAUAUUUUUAGUUCUUUCAAUGCUGUCUGGCCAUUUAGAUAGGUAACAAGAAAUAAAAGGUAAACAACAAAAUAGUAGUAAAAAAAAUCAUUCAUCCUGUUUAAUUUUCUGUUUUCCGUCCUAGUGUAAUUUUUUUUAUUAUAUAUAAUGGAAACAAUAUUGUGUGCUCAAGUGCUGUUUUUCCCCCCAUGUCCAAAUGAAAGAGCAUUUACAAUGAAAUUUAUUUAAAUUUUAAUGACAAUUCUUCUUGACCUCUUCCACUGCUCGCACCCCAUUUGUGGGUUUCUCACACAAUCCCAAUGGAUUUCCUCGUGUUAACCAAGAGGCAACACAUUACUAAAAUCACAUUAAAAAAAAGUAUAUAUAAUACGUUUUUGCUAUUAAAUGAUGAAGAACAAAGAACAUUUUAAAAUCAACUGCAUGUUAUUAUUUGCUUUCUUGCUGGUUGACGAGUUCUUUGUGUCUCCUUCGUUUUACCUUUGCCCUCCCUCCUCCUUCUUGUUGUUCAAUUCAAUUGUGAAUUAUUGGUUUUAUUGUCUUACACGGCUCAUUUUUCUUCACUAUAUUACAUUCUCUCUGUUUCUUGUUCUAGAAUUUCUCACCACAGAGACAUAAUAAUUUUUACAGUGCAUCGCGAGAUAUAGAACACAAAAAAAAUCAAUUUAUGAAGAGAAUUGACGUAAAUUUUUCCAUAUAUUUUUCAAUACGAGGAAACAUAAAAGGAAAUAAGGUGACAUUCCUAAUUUAAGAAAGAAAGACGAGAAAAAGAUCAAAGUUUGUAAAAUAUCCAUCCCGGAAGUGUGCAAUAUAGCAAGUAUGUCCGGAAGGAUUUAAUUGAAGGCACUCCAAGGUUAAGGAAAAUAUCAUUAUAGUGGAUGCAUUUUCAAACUGUAUAAUGUCUAUUUUUUGCGUCGUGUUGAUCUCUGUAAUGUGUUUUCUAUAGCGAACACCUUCCACCUGUAUUUGUUGACGACACAACCAGAGAAUCUACUAACCAGUCCUACACAAUAUCUCAUUUUCUUAAAUCUAAAUCACAGCAAUUGAGAUUUAUUUUUAUACACUGUCGUCGGUCGUUUGAAAAGUACGUGUUCUAUUUAGUAAUAG